GCUGAACCAGGUCUGGUGACUUGCUGCAAUCCUAGCUCUGAGAGCUGAGCCACUCAGUUAGACCCUAUCUCAAAAAACAGGAAUAAAUCCUGUACUGAAUCAAUACAAUAGUCUAAUCUAUAGUGAAAAGAGAUAGUUUAAAGUAAAGACCACCUGGAAGUGCUGGUGAGUACUUUAUUUCAAGUAAAUAUUUAAUAAAACUUGGUUUUGUGAUUUUUUUUUUCCUAAGUCAUAUUUAACUGAGGCUACUAGAUUUGCCUCUGGUAAGGAUUUACAGAGGACCAGAGACUUAGAUAAGAGCUGGAACUCAAAGCCUGGAUUCUGUCAGUAGCCCGGUAUGGCCAUAUGCGUACCUGAUUUUCUGUAACACAGGAAAAUCUGAAAUUCAGUGCCAGCCUGGACUACAUAGAUAAGAUCCUGUCUCAAAAAAAAACAAAAAACAAAAAAUCUAUUUUUGUAGCAAAGAUGGAUACUGUAAUAAACAAUUGAUUUGACAAGAUUUGUUCAAAGGUUCUGACAUGUUUUCAAACACAGCAGAGAUUGUUCCCGGUGGACAUGAUAUUCUGGGUACAUCAUCUGUCAUCCAGUUGUUUGCUAGGGUAAAUCUGUGUUUGUGGUGGGUGCCUUCCCUCACCUCUCCAUUUGUAUGUGUCUCUCCUGAAGCAUCUGUUCUGAAGAGAACAACUUUCUCAACAGAUUGUUCUGCUACCAGUUUUAGUGUAAAGUUCUUAGAAUUCAGUGUAGGGAGGGGCUGGAGAGAGCACUGUGGUUAGGGCAUAGGCUGCUCUUGUGGAUUUGAUUCCUAGCACCCAGUGGUGAUGCAGAGCCAUCCAGAACUCCAGGGCCAGUGGAGCUGUGCCUGCUCUGCCCUCCUCAGGCAUCGUGCACGGAUGUAUAUUCAUACAGGCAAAGCAUUCAGACACAUACGGUGAAAAGUUAAAAAGGUUCAGAAGGGAGCUGGGCGUGGUGGCGCAUGCCUUUAGUCCCAGCACUCGGGAGGCAGAGGCAGGCGGAUUUCUGAGUUUGAGGACAGCCAGGGCUACACAGAGAAACCCUGUCUCGAAAACC
rnacentral:lncRNA from 1 species